rnacentral:pre_miRNA from 11 species
ACCCCCUUCAAUGUCUCCCAGCCCAAGGUGCAGUGCUGCAUCUCUGGUCAGUUGUGAGUCUGAGAUGAAGCACUGUAGCUCGGGAAGGGAGGAACGAAGCAACGAA